rnacentral:tRNA from 1 species
GGGUGGAUAGCGAAGUGGUUAAACGCAUCAGACUGUAAAUCUGACGACUAUGUCUUCGGUGGUUCGAAUCCACCUCCGCCCACCA